AGUGAACGCUGGCGGCAGGCCUAACACAUGCAAGUCGAACGGCAGCACAAGAGAGCUUGCUCUCUGGGUGGCGAGUGGCGGACGGGUGAGGAAUGCAUCGGAAUCUGCCCAUUUGUGGGGGAUAACCUCGGGAAACCGGGACUAAUACCGCAUACGACCUACGGGUGAAAGCAGGGGAUCUUCGGACCUUGCGCAGAUGGAUGAGCCGAUGCCGGAUUAGCUAGUUGGAGGGGUAAAGGCCCACCAAGGCGACGAUCCGUAGCUGGUCUGAGAGGAUGAUCAGCCACACUGGGACUGAGACACGGCCCAGACUCCUACGGGAGGCAGAAGUGGGGAAUAUUGGACAAUGGGCGCAAGCCUGGUCCAGCCAUGCCGCGUGUGUGAAGAAGGCCUUCGGGUUGUAAAGCACUUUUGUUGGGAAAGAAAAGCAGCCGGUUAAUACCCGGUUGUCAUGACGGUACCCAAAGAAUAAGCACCGGCUAACUUCGUG
rnacentral:rRNA from 1 species